rnacentral:tRNA from 1 species
GGAUGGGUGGCAGAGCGGUUGACUGCACCGGUCUUGAAAACCGGCGAAGGCGCAAGCCUUCCGUGGGUUCAAAUCCCACCCCAUCCGCCA